GUGAGAUAGCAAUUCAAAAAGCAUAUGCACGAGACAGAUCCGGAGAAGAUUCAGAAGCUGAAGGACGAUGCUGCAAGGGGGCUGAUUAACCACGUACUCUACGAGUCUGAGAAGCUAUCCGGAAGAAAGUUCAGCAACAGCUCUUGAUAGUGAGUUUUUAUUUGAUAUAUUGGUGUUAGACAGUUUUCAUGACUGCUCAACCAAGUAACAAAGAGAAGCUUGAAUUUUGGGUUUCCUA